AGUGAACGCUGGCGGUAGGCCUAACACAUGCAAGUCGAACGGCAGCACAGUAAGAGCUUGCUCUUACGGGUGGCGAGUGGCGGACGGGUGAGGAAUACAUCGGAAUCUACUUUUUCGUGGGGGAUAACGUAGGGAAACUUACGCUAAUACCGCAUACGACCUACGGGUGAAAGCAGGGGAUCUUCGGACCUUGCGCGAUUGAAUGAGCCGAUGUCGGAUUAGCUAGUUGGCGGGGUAAAGGCCCACCAAGGCGACGAUCCGUAGCUGGUCUGAGAGGAUGAUCAGCCACACUGAAACUGAGAACCGGUCCAGACCCCUACGGGAGCAAGAAGUGGGGAAUAUUGGACAAUGGGCGAAAGCCUGAUCAAGCAAUACCGGGUGGGUAAAGAAGGCCUUCGGGUUGUAAAGCCCUUUUGUUGGGAAAGAAAAGCAGAAGGUUAAUCCCCCGCUGUUCUGACGGUACCAAAAGAAUAGGAACGGGCUAACUUCGUG
rnacentral:rRNA from 1 species